CAUCCCAAUCUCUUCCCCAUCGCGCACGGCCGGCCUCCUCAUCGAAUCUAUAGCGCUGGGCUACCCUCCUCCCUCUGGUCUCCUUGCUGCGCCCACGGCGAGCUCGCCUCACCACCGGAGCACCUCCUGUCUGGUGCACUUCCUCCUCUCCUCCCUCCCGUCUACUCCUCCCUUGUCGUUGCGCCCUGCCAUGCUUCCGCCGCACCACAAGCAGAGCGCCGGCUGUCUGCCGCACUUCCUCCUCUCCCUCCUCCGGUCACCGCCACCCGCUGCGCCCACGACCAUCCACCGUGCCCACCAGGCGCGACACAAGCAUAGCGCUGGCUAUCUGUCGCGCUUCCUCCUCUCCCUCCUACCGCUGCGCCCACGGCACCCACGCAUCCACCUGCCCACCAUGCAUGCCGCCACCCCUGUACGCCUCCUCCGCUUCCAGACUGACUCCCGGUCCCACCUUCAAGCCGUCGUCGCUGCUCACUGAGCCAUUAGCAGCUCCCCUCACAGCACACUUCCUAAGCUCCGAGCCUGACGCGGGUCGUCCGCCAUGGUCACCUGCAGCGUCGUCCGCCAUGGUCACCGUGCACCCAGAAUGGACCCUCUGUAAACCGUUCCUCUGCUCCACGACGUGGAUGGUGAGGAGCCCGAUUCAAAGGCAAGCCCACUUUGUGGACGCCUUUGCAGCCCAAUGCUCCAAAUGGCCCAUGUUGUUUAUCUUCUCCGAUGCCAUCACUUAAACCCUUCAGCUGCUGGUCAUUAGUGAUUGACGCUUCGCUUCCUCUCCCCAUGAUCUCUGCAGAAGAAACUGAUGGAUUCAUCUUUAAAUUCGGUGCUCCACCUGAACUCACUUUGUACUAAUCGUCCUCCAUACGGGUGGGCGUCCUCCAUACCGCUCAUACCCGUACCACUGGUGAGAAACUCCCUCCCCUCUCCUUCUCGACAUUCCCUAUGACGUAUUGAUCUAUGUCCGUGAUUCAACCUCGCGCCGCCGGCUCCCAUCCUCCUCCCUCUCCCACAACGGCCAGCGACGCAUGUGUUCGUGGCUCCAAGGACCAACUUGCUUCUUCCGCUUUGAUCUGAAGAUGACGAUCCGGAGGAGGCCCACGACGGUGUCCCGUUUCUUCUCUGGUAAAGCUCUUCUUUUCUUCUGAAUAAGGCUUUUGUCAAGUUCUUGUGCUCUUCUUUAAUUAUUAUUUUGAUGAAACACAGCUAGAUCGCUAUUUUCAUUCAUUAAGAACGGGAGCACACCUCAAAAUGAGGGAAAUUUUUUGUUACAGACCCACUGUGCAAGGUCGAAGGAAAUAAGAAGGAUGAAUUACAGUAUGAGUUUAAGUAGGAUUAGAUGAUUAGUGAUUGAAAGCUGCAAAGCGGCAAAGGCCUGGACUGGUUAAACUUUUCUUAUCCGUGAUUACCCAGCCACCGGACACUCUUGAUCUAACCUUCUGCAAGGUGCCCAGCUCCAGAACAAUGGAAUCACACUUAUGCAGGAACAACGAAGCUUCGAGAUUGAAAAUACGGUCAGUUCGCUCCAUCCAUAUGCUCCACCAAAUAAUCAUGACCAUGGACAAGAAAGUGUGCACUCGGCAAUCAGGAAUAUAGUCCAGAGCAUGCAGCCACCAGUCAAUCAAGCUAAGAUUAUUCAACUGCGUAAAAAAUGGUAGUGGUACAAAGAUAAAUGGUGGGGUGUGAAGCAGCUGGUGGGUUACGGGGUAUACCAUCAUCGCAUCACACGCCGUCGCCAUCCGCUUACAUGAAGGUUUCAGAAGCUCCCUCUUGCCACCACUGUUAUCUUUUGUCUAUUUGAUUAGCGCUGUUCUUUCUCUUGAAUAUUUUAGCUAUUAGAAAUGUUGGAUCUCUUGGUAUUUGCCCAUCGACCUGAUAAGUCGUACCUUUUUGAUAAAUAGUUUGGUAAAACUACAUCAUUCAGUUCAUUUCUUGGAUCACCUCCAGUAGUAGUUAAUUUUAUUUUUUAAAUCAAAUGGAAGUUUUCAUAGAAAUUUAAAGACUGCAUAUAUUGGUCCAGAUAUUGAUUAUACAUUACAUAUGAGAGGAAAUUGCAGAGUGCCAUAAACAACCUGCUGAAGUCUAUGAUUACAGAGAGGUGUAGGCGUGUAGCCAUGGUGGUGAUAUUGUCUGAUUGUGAAGAUCAGGGGCGGAGCCAGAUUUGGAGCAUGCUCUGGGCUGGCAAUUGUCAAUUUGCUUUUAAUGUUAAUCAACACAUUUUCUCUCUUAUCUCUAUACAUCUUUACUGGCGCUAUCAGCGAUACUGCAGGGUUACCAUGAUACGUGAUUUUCACAGAAACAUGAAAACGAGAGUACAUUUGCUUCGGGAUGGUGAAUUUAGGAGGAGACAUACCAGUAAGUACUCUCUUACCUUAAUAGCAUACCAGUAAGUACUCUCUUACCUUAAUACCUGAUUAAAUCGCUCAAAUUAGCAUCACCAUGCUAUUUAUUUGCUCCCUUCAUGUAUGUUGUAACUCACAUGCAUACAAGUUAUAGUUCUCGGAAAAAUUUGGAGUUCCCACCGCCUGCUGGUACCCUGUCUUGCUACCUACUGUGAUUAUCCUAUAUAAUUUUAUGAUUAUUAUUUUUCCAUGCCUUCUGUAAUUAUGUUUGCAUUAUUUUCCAUCCCAUCAAUGGAGGGCUGGAGUUUCAUUAUUCAUUUUGUCAUGCACAACAUCAAAACAAAACCAAAAGAUAACAUCAGAUUGUAGAGCAAUUAUUGAGCACUAUAAGUUGUUUCCCUAGCUCUAUAGGAUGUCGUGCACACUUCAUGUUUAAAACUUUCCUUCCAAUUGUCGAAGAACAGGUUGCAUCACUGUCAUGCCUCACUUUCGCAUGGCAUCUUGCAGCUUCCACUCAUCGGCGAUCUUAAUGGAGUGGCUAUGAAACAAAAAUAUUAGGAGUAAAUAUGAAGAGUCUUUUCUCCCAUUUCAGUUUCUUUGAAGAAUCAAGAAUGCCAAGUACAACACAAAUUCUAAUUGUUGCUUUGCUACGAAUGAAAAAGAUAAAAUCAUUAGAGUAGGGAACUUCUAGACAAGGUACAACCUACAUGUAUAAAUCUUUGAAAAAAGUUAUCAUGCCAGUAUAUGUAAAUAAAAUUUAGUUUUUUUCACAUUACUACUUCCUUCGCAACUAAAAGAACUUAAUAAAUUUAUGCUAUUCAUGCACAUUACUGAUAAUUCUCUUUAUCUUUGUGCAUAAAUAUAUUUGUUCAACAUUUCAAUAUGUAUUAAUAAUCAUUCAUACAGUAUAUGUUUUUUUCGAAUCUACUCAUAGAAACCAGAAAGUCCCGCAGCAACGCGCGGGGUAUCAUCUAGUUUCAAUAAUUUGCGUGUGUGACUCCCAGAUGCAGAGGCUGGGGGUCAUCAUCCUCCUUUUCAAGAAAAAACAGACGCGUGUGUG